rnacentral:rRNA from 1 species
GAUGAACGCUGGCGGCGUGCCUAAUACAUGCAAGUCGAGCGAACGGACGAGAAGCUUGCUUCUCUGAUGUUAGCGGCGGACGGGUGAGUAACACGUGGAUAACCUACCUAUAAGACUGGGAUAACUUCGGGAAACCGGAGCUAAUACCGGAUAAUAUUUUGAACCGCAUGGUUCAAAAGUGAAAGACGGUCUUGCUGUCACUUAUAGAUGGAUCCGCGCUGCAUUAGCUAGUUGGUAAGGUAACGGCUUACCAAGGCAACGAUGCAUAGCCGACCUGAGAGGGUGAUCGGCCACACUGGAACUGAGACACGGCCCAGACUCCUACGGGAGGCAGCAGUAGGGAAUCUUCCGCAAUGGGCGAAAGCCUGACGGAGCAACGCCGCGUGAGUGCUGAAGGUCUUCGGAUCGUAAAACUCUGUUAUUAGGGAAGAACAUAUGUGUAAGUAACUGUGCACAUCUUGACGGUACCUAAUCAGAAAGCCACGGCUAACUACGUG